GACGAACGCUGGCGGCGUGCUUAACACAUGCAAGUCGAACGGAAAGGCCCUGCUUUUGUGGGGUGCUCGAGUGGCGAACGGGUGAGUAACACGUGAGUAACCUGCCCUUGACUUUGGGAUAACUUCAGGAAACUGGGGCUAAUACCGGAUAGGAGCUCCUGCUGCAUGGUGGGGGUUGGAAAGUUUCGGCGGUUGGGGAUGGACUCGCGGCUUAUCAACUUGUUGGUGGGGUAGUGGCUUACCAAGGCUUUGACGGGUAGCCGGCCUGAGAGGGUGACCGGCCACAUUGGGACUGAGAUACGGCCCAGACUCCUAUGGGAGGCAGCAGUGGGGAAUAUUGCACAAUGGGCGGAAGCCUGAUGCAGCAACGCCGCGUGCGGGAUGACGGCCUUCGGGCUGUAAACCGCUUUCGCCUGUGACGAAGCGUGAGUGACGGUAAUGGGUAAAGAAGCACCGGCUAACUACGUG
rnacentral:rRNA from 1 species